rnacentral:rRNA from 1 species
AUUGAACGCUGGCGGCAUGCUUUACACAUGCAAGUCGAACGGUAACAGGUUAAGCUGACGAGUGGCGAACGGGUGAGUAAUGCAUCGGAACGUGCCCGGUCGUGGGGGAUAACGCAGCGAAAGCUGCGCUAAUACCGCAUACGAUCUGAGGAUGAAAGCGGGGGACCGUAAGGCCUCGCGCGAUCGGAGCGGCCGAUGUCAGAUUAGGUAGUUGGUGGGGUAAAGGCUCACCAAGCCGACGAUCUGUAGCUGGUCUGAGAGGACGACCAGCCACACUGGGACUGAGACACGGCCCAGACUCCUACGGGAGGCAGCAGUGGGGAAUUUUGGACAAUGGGCGCAAGCCUGAUCCAGCAAUGCCGCGUGCAGGAAGAAGGCCUCGGUUGUAAC